CACAGAUUCUCCUUCACCACCAAACCUCACCCCACCUCACCUCACCGCACCGCAGACCACCGUCACUCACCGUACGUCGCACACCGCUGCCGCCGUAAAUCACCACCGCUACCACCGCAGAUCACAGGUAGUGAAAUGGGCCAUUCCCAAAGAAAAAGCCAAAUCAGCAUGCAAUCAAUGAACACUUGCAAUGUCCCUUCAAAUUAAAGGACCACUCACCAGCUCCCUGUUUUUUUGGGGUGUUUUAUGUUUUUGAGUAAGCAAUGGCAAUGGUGAAAGUUUGGAAGACUAGGAACUUAGCCAAGCUAUAUUCAAAUCAUCAAUUACAAAUUUUUGCUUAGCUCUUUUUUUCUUCUUACUUACUCUUUUGUGCAAAUUUACCCAGGCGGACUAUUAUUAUUGAUGGCUUGUGGCAGCGGCUAACCCACCAAGCUGGUAUGGCAUUGGUUUAUUUCGGUAAGAGCAGAGUUGGAAUAAUAAUUUGUUUUGACAGUACUUUAUUAUUGAUGGCUUGUGGCAGCAGCUAACCCACCAAGUGAAUUUUUUCAUUUAAUUUAAUGUUGAUUUAAUCACUUUUGCAUAUUAGUUAUGAAUAAUACUUUGUACCACACUUGUUAUUUGAAAUUAACGGGGUAGAAGAGAAAGAGCUGGAUUUCUC